UACGUAGGGUGCGAGCGUUAAUCGGAAUUACUGGGCGUAAAGCGUGCGCAGGCGGUGAUGUAAGACAGUUGUGAAAUCCCCGGGCUCAACCUGGGAACUGCAUCUGUGACUGCAUCGCUGGAGUGCGGCAGAGGGGGAUGGAAUUCCGCGUGUAGCAGUGAAAUGCGUAGAUAUGCGGAGGAACACCGAUGGCGAAGGCAAUCCCCUGGGCCUGCACUGACGCUCAUGCACGAAAGCGUGGGGAGCGAACAGG
rnacentral:rRNA from 1 species